UACUUUUUUUUUUGUUUUUUUCUUUCAACUACCAAAUCCAGAUAUUUGCCUUUUUUCUUUCUACUAAUGUGCAUAAGCAACAAAUCAAACAAUUCAUCCCCUUAUAUUUAUCAACAAGCAAGGAAGUUUAUAAUCUAUGAACAUUGGUAAGAAGUUUUUCCUUAGAAUUUUCCAAUUGUAGAAAGUUUAACAAACCAUUCGAGAUUGAUGAAAAAAAUUGAAACCCAAAUACUCAUUUUCUAAACUAAAAAAAUUGAAAUUAAACGAACAAAAUAUUCAUAAAUUGAGUCAUACCUUAGUUGGAGGAUUCAAAACUUCAAAAUCACCAUCCAUCAAUAAAAAAAACUUGUUUUUCUCUACAAGACCUAUUAGGGUUUUAGCCAGAAUGAACGUAGGAUAAACAAGAAGUGAUGGUAGGGUUUAAUGGGCUUAUUGAUAAAUUUGAGUUUUAUUAUUAAUUUCAUUUUGUACUUAAUAAUAAUUAUACAAUAGGGUAAAAUAGACAAUUAACAAUUUAUAUUUAAGUUGGGUGAGAAAGAGAUUACAUGAGUUCAAAUAAAGUUUCCCUUCAAAAAAUUGUGAACAUUUCUUUUUUUUUUUUUUUUUUAAAAAAAAGAUAAAGCAUGCCACCACAACCUUAACCACUAGGCCACCACCAUCGUUGCCGCCACCAUCUCACCAUCAUCCUCGCAACCACCAUGACCACUACCGCCAUUACAGGUCAUUAAGUAUCAUACAUUGGAGUUUUCGAAACGUAUAAUUUAACAAAUUAUUAAAAUAUAUACGAAAAAUGAAAAUUUUAAAAAAUACAUGCUGACGUGUAUACGCAAAUUUACUCACCAUAAAUUUUAAUUAUUUUGAACUUCGGAUAUGCACUCUACUCAUUUUGAUUCAGUUUUAUGGAUCACUAAUUACUUUUGUUUUCUAAACUUGGUCAAAAGCAUUUAUUUUCUUUUGGAAAUACACACCGAUGAUUUUGAUAAGGUUUUUUUUAUUAGCACCCCACAUAUUGUUGAAUGCACCCCACAAAAAAUUCAAUAUUAAAUUACUUAUUUAUUCUACUAUGCAAUGACAAUUUCAACCUUAUUAAGUUUAAAAAAUAAUAAUA
rnacentral:lncRNA from 1 species